rnacentral:lncRNA from 1 species
UUAUUUUUCUUAAUUGGUUUAAAUUUUUAUUCACAUGGUAAUAUUAACUAAACCAAAAUAUUAGACAAAUUAGAUUAUGUCCAUUGUAAUGAAUCAAAGGUAAAACAACAAUAUUAACUUUAUAAUGAAAGUUGAUAUUACAAUUGCAUCUUUAAUUUAGAAAAUUAUAGUAAGAAACAAUGAUAAUAUAUUUGUUUUUAAUACUAUCAAACUUAUAAACUUGUUAAAUUUUUAAAUUAUGAUGAACAAAUAUAUGCACCACUUAAAAGAAUAUUUGUCAAAUUACUAGCUUUAAAUUUUUCCGUCUAGAUGUCGAAAAAAGAAAAACAAACGUAUCAUUUGAAAAUUUCCAUUCAAACCUAUUCUAACUUCAGCUAAAUUUGACUUAUUCAGAUUUUAGAUUAAAAAACAAAUGCAACCUAAAUCUUUGUGGGGCCUAAAUUCGAGUAAGAUUUAAUGGUAAAUAAUAGAGAAAUAUUGCAAUCCUAAAUUUUAAACAAGAAAAUAAAUAAAACUAUUUUUUUAGUAGAACUAUAUAUUAGGAUGGGGCCUCAAGUUUUGGAUAAUAAAAUAAACCUAGAAUAGGAUUUUAGUAGGAAAGAAUACUAAGAUGGGACCUCUAUUCUAGGAGAGGGCUUAGCCAAUUGCCUAAACUAUAGCUCCUAUGCAUAAACACAGCAUAUAAUACUUGUAUUUCUCUGCGUAGUUGCAAUAAGAAUGACUGAUUGGGGCUUUUUUUUUUUUUUUUUUUGGGUACAAGAGGAGCACUGGACUGAAUGGGCCUUGUUUCUCUUGGAUCAUCAACGCGGUUAAAAAGCAGCCUACUAUCUUCGUAGACUGCACAUCCUCAGACAAACCAAACGAGUCGUCCAAUGUUCUCCGAAUAUAUUGAGGUGUCUUUCGGAUAACGCUUGGUGGAAUCUUGUGGGUUGAACUUUGGGUUUGUGAAAUGAUAGACCAGUUCAUAAGUGCAUCUAGAGUUGGCAUUUUGACACCCCUUAAAAUUUCUCAUAAAUCUACUUUUAAUUGAAAAUACUCACCUAUAAAAAAAUAUAUAUUGAUAUUACUUAAAUUGUAAUCAAAUACAAAUUAAUUCAUUUUUCAUUUUGAAUAGAAAUUGAACUGAACAUUUAAUACAUUAUUUUUAAAA